GAGUUUGAUCAUGGCUCAGGACGAACGCUGGCGGCGUGCCUAAUACAUGCAAGUAGAACGCUGAAGAGAGGAGCUUGCUCUUCUUGGAUGAGUUGCGAACGGGUGAGUAACGCGUAGGUAACCUGCCUUGUAGCGGGGGAUAACUAUUGGAAACGAUAGCUAAUACCGCAUAACAAUGGAUGACCCAUGUCAUUUAUUUGAAAGGGGCAAAUGCUCCACUACAAGAUGGACCUGCGUUGUAUUAGCUAGUAGGUGAGGUAACGGCUCACCUAGGCGACGAUACAUAGCCGACCUGAGAGGGUGAUCGGCCACACUGGGACUGAGACACGGCCCAGACUCCUACGGGAGGCAGCAGUAGGGAAUCUUCGGCAAUGGGGGCAACCCUGACCGAGCAACGCCGCGUGAGUGAAGAAGGUUUUCGGAUCGUAAAGCUCUGUUGUAAGUCAAGAACGAGUGUGAGAGUGGAAAGUUCACACUGUGACGGUAGCUUACCAGAAAGGGACGGCUAACUACGUGCCAGCAGCCGCGGUAAUACGUAGGUCCCGAGCGUUGUCCGGAUUUAUUGGGCGUAAAGCGAGCGCAGGCGGUUUGAUAAGUCUGAAGUUAAAGGCUGUGGCUCAACCAUAGUUCGCUUUGGAAACUGUCAAACUUGAGUGCAGAAGGGGAGAGUGGAAUUCCAUGUGUAGCGGUGAAAUGCGUAGAUAUAUGGAGGAACACCGGUGGCGAAAGCGGCUCUCUGGUCUGUAACUGACGCUGAGGCUCGAAAGCGUGGGGAGCGAACAGGAUUAGAUACCCUGGUAGUCCACGCCGUAAACGAUGAGUGCUAGGUGUUGGAUCCUUUCCGGGAUUCAGUGCCGCAGCUAACGCAUUAAGCACUCCGCCUGGGGAGUACGACCGCAAGGUUGAAACUCAAAGGAAUUGACGGGGGCCCGCACAAGCGGUGGAGCAUGUGGUUUAAUUCGAAGCAACGCGAAGAACCUUACCAGGUCUUGACAUCCCGAUGCUAUUUCUAGAGAUAGAAAGUUACUUCGGUACAUCGGUGACAGGUGGUGCAUGGUUGUCGUCAGCUCGUGUCGUGAGAUGUUGGGUUAAGUCCCGCAACGAGCGCAACCCCUAUUGUUAGUUGCCAUCAUUCAGUUGGGCACUCUAGCGAGACUGCCGGUAAUAAACCGGAGGAAGGUGGGGAUGACGUCAAAUCAUCAUGCCCCUUAUGACCUGGGCUACACACGUGCUACAAUGGUUGGUACAACGAGUUGCGAGUCGGUGACGGCAAGCUAAUCUCUUAAAGCCAAUCUCAGUUCGGAUUGUAGGCUGCAACUCGCCUACAUGAAGUCGGAAUCGCUAGUAAUCGCGGAUCAGCACGCCGCGGUGAAUACGUUCCCGGGCCCUUGUCCACACCGCCCGUCAA
rnacentral:rRNA from 1 species